CAUUAUGUCGUAAUCUCGUCGGAUUGAAGAUCCAUUCAUCUGCGUCCAAAAUUGUCUUCCUAGUUUCGUUCAGAGACUCGAGAAGUGGAUUCGCAGCUCCAGUCUUUCUUGAUUGGGCUAAGAUGUCGGCUUUUGAUAAUGUUGUUGGUGGGAAGCUGAAACUUAAGGGAAAAGCCUUGAAUGUAAAGCCUGGUGGAAUGAAGAGGAAAAAGAAACAUAAGAAACACAAUGAUCAAGUUUCUCAAGUCUUGGAAAACGAGCUUUCUGCAGGCCAAAACACAGAAGAGUUAACUGUCAAUGGUGAGGAUGUAGCUAACGACAGUGGCAAAUUGAGCGAAGCAGGGAAGGCUGCUCUUUACGAUGAUCAUCUGACAGCUGCAGAGAGACG
rnacentral:misc_RNA from 1 species